AAGCAAGGUGCAAUACAAUAGACAAGAUGCAAUUCAAGAGCCAAGAGUCAGCAGCUUUUAUUAUCUAGCAUCCAAGUUAUACAUGUGUAAAGGGGGAGGCAAGAACAGGGACAAGAAUCAAGCCAGGUUCUGAAACACUCAGUGGGAGGGGAGGUCCCCAACGCUAGGCCAUGGCGUCCAGCGGCGGCUGGGGAUGGAAACAAGAAGUUGCAUAUCUGCGCUUGUGGGACGUAGGGUUUUUCUUGUGGUGGGUGAGUGGGGGAGGGGAAAGAUCACGUGAGGCAGAUCGGUCGCUGCUUGUUGGGACGUGGAAACGAGGGGGAGGUGGGCCUGCCUUUUUAGCACAUGGGUGGGGACCGACAGGAUUGACUUUCCUAAUAUGGCGGCCGCGACAUCCACCCGCAUCGCGCGCGGGCGCUGCGUAGCAGCGUCCGGGUUAUUAUUUAACAUUAACCACCACAUGAAGCCAUUUUUAUCUCUUGCA